GUAAUGCUGCGUUACUCAGCUCUGAAUUUUCACUAGAAAUGUGUGCCUUAAAUACUUUGCAAAGUCGAGGGAAGUGUUUUCUGACAGCUGCAACGAAUUCUCUGCCUUCCUCACCAGACAGGCGGUUGACGAGAGAGAGAUGCGCGUCCGUGAGGUCCCCCGCGGGGGCUGCGGGGUCCUGCAGCGUCUCGAGCAGCGGCCGCAGACCGGCGGCGGCGCUCACGGUGCCGCUCAUGGUGCCGCAGGGCGGGGGCCGGGCCGGGCCUGCAGCCCGCUCCGCGCGCCCCGCGCCGUCUCCCG
rnacentral:lncRNA from 1 species